rnacentral:tRNA from 7 species
GCCUCCGUAGCUCAGGGGAUAGAGCACCGCUCUCCUAAAGCGGGUGUCGCAGGUUCGAAUCCUGCCGGAGGCG